rnacentral:rRNA from 1 species
GAACGCCGGCGGUGUGCCUAAUACAUGCAAGUCGUACGCACUGGCCCAACUGAUUAAUGGUGCUUGCACCUGAUUGACGAUGGAUCACCAGUGAGUGGCGGACGGGUGAGUAACACGUAGGUAACCUGCCCCGGAGCGGGGGAUAACAUUUGGAAACAGAUGCUAAUACCGCAUAACAACAAAAGCCACAUGGCUUUUGUUUGAAAGAUGGCUUUGGCUAUCACUUUGAGAUGGCCUCGCGUCCGAUUAGCUGGUUGGUGAGGUAACGGGCCCACCAAGGCGACGAUCGGUAGCCGGACUGAGAGGUUGAACGGCCACAUUGGGACUGAGACACGGCCCAGACUCCUACGGGAGGCAGCAGUGGGGAAUAUUGCACAAUGGGGGAAACCCUGAUGCAGCGACGCCGCGUGGAGGAAGAAGGUCUUCGGAUUGUAAACUCCUGUCGUUAGGGACGAUAAUGACGGUACCUAACAAGAAAGCACCGGCUAACUACGUG